UACGUAGGUGGCGAGCGUUUGUCCGGAUUUAUUGGGCGUAAAGCGCCCGCAGGCGGCUUGAUAAGUUUCAGGUGAAAUCUCCCGGCUUAACUGGGAGGGGUCCUGGAAAACUGUCAGGCUUGAGGCAGAGAGAGGGAUGUGGAAUUCCCGGUGUAGUAGUGAAAUGCGUAGAUAUCGGGAGGAACACCGAUGGCGAAGGCAGCCCCCCUGGGCUAACACUGACGCUCAGGCACGAAAGCGUGGGGAGCAAACGAGGAUUA
rnacentral:rRNA from 1 species